UCGGGAAUAUUCUGAUUCGUUGUUUGUUGGGAACCAGAAAAAGAAGAUCCUCCUUUAUAGACCUGUCAUGAAGUUACAAAUAAGACAUUUUAUAAAAAAAAUGGACAUGACUUAUUUGUAUUUUUACUUAAACUCAUACUCGUUCACCUACAAAAUCAGAAUUCAAAACUUCUUCAAGGAUACAAUCUAUCCAAAACUCAAAGAAGUGGCUUUCUAGCUAGUUCUUAUAUGCAUCAUUUUACUAACUAUUUCAAAAUAUAUCGUAUUAGCUCUACUAACCACAUAACCAUAAACUCAACCAAGUUAUUUCCUAAACUACUACUCACUCAUUUUGCUUUAACUCCAAACACAUUAUGAUACACUCUACCUGAUUUAUCUUUCCCAUCCCUUGCACUAUAUGCUCUCCCUACGACAUCAUUCUUUCUAGUAUU
rnacentral:lncRNA from 1 species